GGCGAAAUUCUGUCUUUGAGCCGAUUUAUUGCAAUCUGGCAACGUCCUCGCCUUUAUUUCUCGCUGUCACUAUAUUUUCCUAUUAGUCGUCUGCUUCUUGCACGUUUUGAAGUCGAGUGUGACAUUCUGUUCUCGAAGAUCACCGUUACUUGUCUUUCUUUCUGUGAUUUCUGUUCGGUCUUUGUCUCACAAGUUCACUCUGGAACUAUUCUGCCUUGCCUCAUUUCUGUGGUCAAAUAGCCUGUGAGCCAUUGUGUUCUAUUUUCUGCUUUGCAGGCACCAUCGCUUAUACCAUUGCUACGUCAACAUCGUUAACUCUCAUAGUCAUACUGCCAUUCUGGCAGACAAAUCUUACUCGCAAUACAUUGAAGAGAAAACCCACUGCCGGCCUAUGCUCUAAUUUAGCUUCUGAACAUUUUGGUCCUUCGAACCGGAGCUUUAGUCAGUGAAGGUGGUGGCCAGCUUAUUGUUCAGCCAACAUCAUCAUCGUUGGCCCCUCAUCAUUCUGCUACACGAGUUCCUGUAGCCAGCCUUCUACUGCCAGCAUUUACAACGUUGGCCUGUCAUCAUCCUGCUGUUCAAGUCCAUCGUGUACAGCCAUCCUACACAGCCAACAUCCAUUGUUGGCCAGUCAUCAUUCUGCUACACGAGUCCUGUAGCCAGCCUACUACAGCCAGCAUUUACAACGUUGGCCAGUCAUAUCACUGCUGCCCAGUUCUUCAUGGUCAGCUGCUUCCCACGUUC